rnacentral:tRNA from 1 species
AGUGAGGUGGCUGAGCACAAGCAAUAGACUGUAGAUCUAUCCACGAAUUCCCCCUUCCCUCAUUA